rnacentral:rRNA from 1 species
GACGGAGGGUGCUGGCGUUGUUCGGAAUUACUGGGCGUAAAGAGCGCGUAGGCGGUUUGGUAAGUUGGAAGUGAAAGCCCGGGGCUUAACCUCGGAAUUGCUUUCAAAACUGCUAGACUAGAGUAUGGUAGGGGAUGGUAGAAUUCCUAGUGUAGAGGUGAAAUUCUUAGAUAUUAGGAGGAAUACCGGUGGCGAAGGCGACCAUCUGGACCAUUACUGACGCUGAGGUGCGAAAGCGUGGGGAGCAAACAGGAUUAGAAACCCGUGUAGU